rnacentral:rRNA from 1 species
UACGUAGGGGGCAAGCGUUGUCCGGAUUUACUGGGCGUAAAGAGCGCGCAGGCGGUCGUUCAAGUCGCGUGUGAAAGCCCCCGGCUCAACUGGGGAGGGUCACGCGAUACUGAUCGACUCGAAGGCAGGAGAGGGAAGUGGAAUUCCCGGUGUAGUGGUGAAAUGCGUAGAUAUCGGGAGGAACACCAGUGGCGAAGGCGACUUCCUGGCCUGUUCUUGACGCUGAGCGCGAAAGCUAGGGGAGCAAACGGG